GGACGAACGCUGGCGGCGUGCUUCAUACAUGCAAGUCGAACGAGAAGUUACCUCGGGUAAUGGAAAGUGGCGGACGGGUGAGUAAUGUGUAGAGAAUCUGCCCUUUAGUGGGGGACAACAGUUGGAAACGACUGCUAAUACCCCAUAUGCGCGUAGCUGAGAUGCUAUUCGUGAAAACUCCGGUGCUAAAGGAUGAGUCUGCAUCUGAUUAGCUAGUUGGGGGUGUAAUGGACCACCAAGGCGACGAUCAGUAGCUGGUUUGAGAGGAUGAUCAGCCACAAUGGGACUGAGACACGGCCCAUACUCCUACGGGAGGCAGCAGUAGGGAAUUUUGCGCAAUGGGGGAAACCCUGACGCAAGCAACGCCGCGUGAUUGAAUAUGCCCUUCGGGGUGUAAAGAUCUGUCAGUGGGGACGAAACUUGACGGUACCCACAGAGGAAGCAUCGGCUAACUCCGUGCCAGCCGCAGC
rnacentral:rRNA from 1 species